UCACCAUGGAAAACUUCAGCUGGUAGCGGCAUGCAGGUCUGCCACCGCAGAAUGAACCCCUCUGACCUGGAAUGGGCUCACGUUGACUCAGAUCCUUCACGCGAAGACUCCUCACUCAUGCAGGAGGUCCCUAAUUAUGGAAGCGGUCACCAGGAAGGCCUUCCGUGUUCCGGCCCACUGAUUUAGAAUUCCCUUCCCUGAUUACAUCUCAGUUUGAAACACAUGACUGCAAUUUCACCUCCCGCUGUGAGGAACAGACCAGUGUUCGUUUCAUGUUUGGACGACAUUUCUGGAGUGAGAGGUUGUCCUGGUGCAAAUCUGAUGAAGGCUGGCGGAGUAGCAGAGCACUAACAGAAAACACAAUGCAGAAUGCAUGCGCACGGCCUUGGGAUAACAAGCCAAGGAAAUCAAUAGUAUUUACAGAAGGGUCCCCCAUCUCACGCGUCUACAUACAGCGAAAAGUAUUUAAUGAUGACACAUGAAGCACAAAUGGGCCCCAAAGGAAGUCGAUAUAUUUUGCAGCCAUUUUCUCAGUGUUUUGUUCAGAAACGGGAUGCA